AUGUCCUCACUUCCUGAGCUUCAGAUCGGGUCUCCUGUUGGGGAGGAAGCAAGCCUUUAUGGACAUUUCUCCCCUCGUGCUACAUCAUGUUCGCCGAUGUCUGUACUGCUCACUGGCCCUGGGUGUGUAGUCAUCGAUGAGGUCAUGGCUCCAGUGCUGGAGAUUAUGCCUGAGUUGCAGGAGCGUUGUGGGAAGCCUACUUCACCUCUUUCAAUGGUGCUUCCGAAGGAGAUGAGGCAGGUGAUGUCUGUGGGUGGCGAGGUUGAUGAGGUAGGUGCGUUGGCACCUAUCUCUGGGGCGCAACUACAGGGUUUGCCUCUGCCAUGUGUGCAACUGAAGGCGCCUGAGUCCAUUGUGUCGGUGGUACCCGUGGCUGAGCAUGUUAAUGCAGUGGUGUCUGUGAGGGACAAGGUUGAUGAGAUUCUAUUUGAGAUACAAGUCAGCAGCUUGCUCGCACGUUUGGAGGCGGUCAGCCCUGGAUCUGGCAAGAUGAUUGUGGAGAAGGCUCUCAGGAGCAAAACUAAGUAG
rnacentral:rRNA from 1 species